AAGAGCUCGUAGGUGGUUUGUCGCGUUGUUCGUGAAAUCUCACGGCUUAACUGUGAGCGUGCGGGCGAUACGGGCAGACUUGAGUACUGCAGGGGAGACUGGAAUUCCUGGUGUAGCGGUGGAAUGCGCAGAUAUCAGGAGGAACACCGGUGGCGAAGGCGGGUCUCUGGGCAGUAACUGACGCUGAGGAGCGAAAGCGUGGGGAGCGAACAGGAUUAGAUACCCUGGUAGUCCACGCCGUAAACGGUGGGUACUAGGUGUGGGUUUCCUUCCUUGGGAUCCGUGCCGUAGCUAACGCAUUAAGUACCCCGCCUGGGGAGUACGGCCGCAAGGCUAAAACUCAAAGAAAUUGACGGGGGCCCGCACAAGCGGCGGAGCAUGUGGAUUAAUUCGAUGCAACGCGAAGAACCUUACCUGGGUUUGACAUGCACAGGACGCCGGCAGAGAUGUCGGUUCCCUUGUGGCCUGUGUGCAGGUGGUGCAUGGCUGUCGUCAGCUCGUGUCGUGAGAUGUUGGGUUAAGUCCCGCAACGAGCGCAACCCUUGUCUCAUGUUGCCAGCGGGUAAUGCCGGGGACUCGUGAGAGACUGCCGGGGUCAACUCGGAGGAAGGUGGGGAUGACGUCAAGUCAUCAUGCCCCUUAUGUCCAGGGCUUCACACAUGCUACAAUGGCCGGUACAAAGGGCUGCGAUGCCGCGAGGUUAAGCGAAUCCUUUUAAAGCCGGUCUCAGUUCGGAUCGGGGUCUGCAACUCGACCCCGUGAAGUCGGAGUC
rnacentral:rRNA from 1 species